rnacentral:rRNA from 1 species
AUUGAACGCUGGCGGCAUGCCUAACACAUGCAAGUCGAACGGAAGCACGGGGCUCGGUCUUGCCUUGAGUGGCGAACGGGUGAGUAAUGCAUCGGAAUGUGCCCGGUAGUGGGGGAUAGCGUCCCGAAAGGCGGACUAAUACCGCAUACGACCUGAGGGUGAAAGUGGGGGAUCGACAGACCUCGCGCUAUUGGAUGAGCCUAUGUCGGAUUAGCUAGUUGGUGGGGUAAAGGCUUACCAAGGCGACGAUCCGUAGCUGGUCUGAGAGGAUGAUCAGCCACACUGGAACUGAGACACGGUCCAGACUCCUACGGGAGGCAGCAGUGGGGAAUAUUGGACAAUGGGCGAAAGCCUGAUCCAGCCAUGCCGCGUGUGUGAAGAAGGUCUUCGGAUUGUAAACCACUUUUAGUUGGGAAGAAAGCCUGUGAGCUAAUACCUCGGUGUGAUGACGGUACCAAAAGAAUAAGCACCGGCUAACUACGUG